rnacentral:rRNA from 1 species
CCGCGGGAACACCGGCAGCUCUAGUGGUAACAAUUUUAUUGGGCCUAAAGCGUCCGUAGCCGGUUUAAUAAGUCUCUGGUGAAAUCCUGUAGCUUAACUGUGGGAAUUGCUGGAGAUACUAUUAGACUUGAGACCGGGAGAGGUUAGAGGUACUCCCAGGGUAGAGGUGAAAUUCUGUAAUCCUGGGAGGACCGCCUGUUGCGAAGGCGUCUAACUGGAACGGUUCUGACGGUGAGGGACGAAAGUUAGGGGCGCGAACCGGAUUAGAUACCCGGGUAGUCCUAACUGUAAACGAUGCGGACUUGGUGUUGGGUGGCUUUGAGCUGCUUCAGUGCCGAAGGGAAGCUGUUAAGUCCGCCGCCUGGGAAGUACGGUCGCAAGACUGAAACUUAAGGAAUUGGCGGGGGAGCACCACAACGCGUGGAGCCUGCCGGUUUAAUUGGAUUCAACGCCGGACAUCUCACCAGAGGCGACAGCUGUAUGAUAGCCAGGUUGAUGACUUUGCUUGACUAGCUGAGUGGUGGUGCAUGG